GACGUGGAAGACUAGUGUUAUUCAUCUUUAAUAGGUUUAAAGGGUAACGUAGACGUAUUUCUAGUCCAAAACAUAGGUACAGAUUUACUAGAGUUAUAUGAGAGAAGGUGAGUAUUUAAGGUGGAGAGAUGAAAUUUUUUAAUACCUUAAGGACGAUAAUGGCGAAAGCAACCUUCUAUGUAAUAACUGACGUUGAGGGACGAAGGCCUGGGUAGCCAACAGG
rnacentral:rRNA from 1 species